UAGGCUCAGGACCGUUGCUAUUCUCUGCUGCUGUUUUUCCAAAUUUCACAUUUCACAUUUGGGUCUCCAGUCUACCUGGAGUCAUGGCUGCUGUCUGGACACCUGUGAGAUGGAGCAUUGUCCUCUCUGCCCUGUGCUGCCACUUUGUUCAGACGCAUGUCCUCAUAAACUCUGAUGUACCUGUCACUGCGAGGAUCUGCAUAACUAAAUCAUCAAAGAUGUGACAUCACACAGAGCAAGGCUCGCUACUCAGCGUAUCAGGAUGGCCUUGGAUUCCUCACUGUUUCGUUCUCACACUCGCUUUGCAGGAGCUUAGCAGUUCCUAGAAAACAGAGCCCACUGUGCGGACUGAGCUGAUGGGGCAGAUCCCUCCUCCCAGUACAUCCUGCCUGGUGGAGCACGGUACCUUGAGGAUCCAGACAACCAGGCCAGAGGGUGCUGACGUUGAUCUCUGUGUCCUCCUGCCUUGGGAUGCUAGAUUAUGGACCUUCACCAUCAUAGUUGGCAAGAAAGUUGACUUUUCCAGAUGAUCCAUUUGGGUACAAAUACAAACAAGGUUGGCACAUUGGGUUUACGUAAGUUUCUUAGUCUCUGACGCUGGUAAGAACUGUGCUGCUCCUCCUCUCCUAGCUGUGGAUUGACUGAAAGCCCAGAAAGUUUGUCCCAUUG
rnacentral:lncRNA from 1 species